rnacentral:rRNA from 1 species
AUUGAACGCUGGCGGCAGGCCUAACACAUGCAAGUCGAGCGAGCGGCGGAAGGGUGAGUAAUGUAUGGGGACUGCCCGAUAGAGGGGGAUAACAACUGGAAACGGUGGCUAAUACCGCAUACUGUAGGAGAACCAAUAUGGGAUUAGCUAGUAGGUAAGGUAAUGGCUUACCUAGGCGACGAUCCCUAGCUGGUCUGAGAGGAUGAUCAGCCACACUGGUCCUGAUACACGGCCCAGACGCGUACGGAGGCAGCAGUGGGGAAUAUUGAACAAUGGGCGCGUGCCUGAUGCAGCCAUGCCGCGUGUAUGAUGAAGGCCCUAGGGUUGUAAAGUACUUUCAGUCUGGAGGCGUUACCGACAGAAGAAGCACCGGCGAACUCCGUGCCAGCAGCCGCGGUAAUAC